GGCAAUGACGGGUAGGGGACCUGAGAGGGUGGCCCCCCACAAUGGAACUGAAACACGGUCCAUACACCUACGGGUGGCAGCAGUAGGGAAUAUUAGAAAUGGGCGAAAGCCUGAUCUAGCAACACCGCGUGUGCGAUGAAGGCCUUCGGGUUGUAAAGCACUUUUUGGAGGGAAUAGGAAGGAAGGUACCUCCAGAAUAAGUCUCGGCUAACUACGUGCCAGCAGCCGCGGUAACACGUAGGAGGCAAACGUUAUCCGGAUUCACUGGGCGUAAAGCGCGUGUAGGUGGUUCUGUAAGUAGGGCGUGAAAGCUCCCGGCUCAACUGGGAGAGGCCGUACUAAACUGCAGAGCUAGAGGAUGGUAGAGGGAGGUGGAAUUCCAGGUGUAGUGGUGAAAUGCGCAGAUAUCUGGAGGAACACCAGUGGCGAAGGCGGCCUCCUGGACCAUUCCUGACACUCAGACGCGAAAGCUAGGGUAGCAAACGGAAGGAGCGACUCCGGUAGUCCUAGCCCUAAACGAUGCAGACUAGGCGUCGGCGGUUUAAUCACCGUCGGUGUCCAAGCUAACGCGAUAAGUCUGCCUCCUGAGGACUACGGCCGCAAGGCUAAAACUCAAAGGAAUUGACGGGUCCCCGCACAAGCAGCGGAGCGUGUGGUUUAAUUAGAUGCUCCGCGAAGAACCUUACUCUGUGUUUGACAUAACAGUGGUAGAGAAGUGAAAACGGAUCGACCCUUCGGGGAGCUGUUACAGGUGUUGCAUGCCUGUGGUCAGCUCGUGUCGUGAGAUGUUCGGUUAAGUCUGUUAAUGAGCGCAACCCGCGCUGUGUGUUACAAGUGUCACACAGUACCGCCGGUAUUAAGUCGGAGGAAGGUGCGGAUGAAGUCAAGUCAGCAUUACCUUUAUAUUCAGGGCUACACACACGCUACAAUGGUCAGAACAAUAGGUUGACAAGCUGCAAGGUGGAGCCAAUCUUCCAAAUCUGGCAUCAGUUCAGAUUGCAGGAUGCAAUUAGCCUGCAUGAAGUAGGAUUGUCUAGUAUCCGCAGGUCAGCA
rnacentral:rRNA from 1 species